AUGUUUCUGUCUCUUCUACAUUGACUGUUCUUAUUCCACUGGUUUCUUUAACAGCACUGUUCUAAGCCUCUGUGGAAGAAAACUUCCCACAAGGCUGCACUAGCACAUCAAGCCUUUGCUUUUACAGUCUUCUCUUGCCUAUUACCAUACCAGUGUGUGUAUUCUCCAUCUUUGGACUUGGAUGGGUAUUAAACUCUUCAGGCAUAAUUGACUCAACUAGAGUCAGUAUGCUGUAUUUAUUCAUGGUAGCUCUUAGGCAUCUAUCUCUGAAAGCGCAACUGGAUGGAAUUUAGUUUGCAGGAAAGACUUUGCUUUGUGCAUAUCAGACUUAGGACUGUGGGAGGUUUAAGUUGCAGACAUUUUUUUUAUUUUACUCUUGCUCUGCCCUUGUGUUUUGAAGGUUCUGAUUUAUAACUGCUAUAUCAGAGGAAACAUUUUGACAGUGUCUUGUUGGAGAUGAACAUCCCCAAUUGUCAUGUCAUGACUUUUUCUUAUUUUAUUCAUGUAAAAGUCAUUGAAAUUUUGUUUUGCUUGUUUGUUUAGCUUUAAAGUCUUUGGUAAAGUCACAUGUUAGGGAUGACUGAAAUAAUUCUAAAGCAGUGAUGCUGGAAUAGUCUCUCUAAGGGAGAGAAAUGCAUUUGAACAAGUGUGGUAUAAAACCAUAUAAUCAAAUAGAAAUUUCAGGUACUUACAAAAAUUGAGUUUAUAAAAUUACCUUCAUUUCUUUGACAUUAGUUGUUUAUAUUAACAAUAAAGAUGUUGACACUUUAUCAUAAAAAAUAAACCAGUUUGCAGUAA